UACGUAGGGGGCAAGCGUUGUUCGGAAUUACUGGGCGUAAAGCGCGCGUAGGCGGCUUUGCAAGUCGGGUGUGAAAUCCCCAGGCUUAACCUGGGAACUGCAUUCGAGACUGCAUUGCUAGAGUAUGGGAGAGGGAAGUGGAAUUUCCGGUGUAGCGGUGAAAUGCGUAGAUAUCGGAAGGAACAUCAGUGGCGAAAGCGACUUCCUGGACCAAUACUGACGCUCAUGUGCGAAAGCGUGGGGAGCAAACAGG
rnacentral:rRNA from 1 species